rnacentral:rRNA from 1 species
UACGAGGGGGGCGAGCGUUGUUCGGAAUUAUUGGGCGUAAAGGGUGCGUAGGCGGUUUGGUAAGUCUUGUGUGAAAUCUACAGGCUCAACUUGUAGUCUGCACGAGAAACUGCCGGGCUUGAGUAUGGGAGAGGUGAGUGGAAUUCCUGGUGUAGCGGUGAAAUGCGUAGAUAUCGGGAGGAACACCUGUGGCGAAAGCGGCUCACUGGACCACAACUGACGCUGAGGCGCGAAAGCUAGGGGAGCAAACAGG